UACAGAGGGUGCAAACGUUGCUCGGAAUCAUUGGGCGUAAAGCGCACGUAGGCGGCCCAGCAAGUGGGGAGUGAAAGCCCCCGGCUCAACUGGGGAGGGUCAUUCGAUACUGUCCGACUCGAAGGCAGGAGAGGGAAGCGGAAUUCCCGGUGUAGUGGUGAAAUGCGUAGAUAUCGGGAGGAACAUCUGUGGCGAAGGCGACACCCUGGACCAGCACUGACACUGAGGCACGAAAGCGUGGGGAGCAAACAGG
rnacentral:rRNA from 1 species